UCUAUUUCAGUAGAGCGUAUGAUGUCGAUGGCCCGAGGUAGAGCACUCAAUGGGCUAGGGUGGCCCCAUUUCGCCUUACCAACCCCAGGGAAACUCCGAAUACAGGCCUAGAUCGUUUGUACAGACAGACUUUUUGGGUGCUAAGAUCCAAAGUCGAGAGGGAAACAGCCC
rnacentral:rRNA from 1 species